rnacentral:rRNA from 1 species
UCCGUAGGCGGUGUAGCAAGUCGAUAGUGAAAUCUCUGGGCUUAACUCAGAGGCUGCUAACGAAACUGCUAUGCUAGAGUGUGAGAGAGGCGAGUGGAAUUACGGGUGUAGCGGUGAAAUGCGUAGAUAUCCGUAGGAACAUCCGAGGCGAAGGCGGCUCGCUGGAUCACAACUGACGCUGAGGGACGAAAGCUAGGGGAGCAAACAGGAUUAGAUACCCUGGUAGUCCUAGCCCUAAACCAUCAGGACUUGGGGUUUGCCCUGUACGGGGCAAGUCCCGUAGCUAACGCGUUAAGUCCUGCGCCUGGGGAGUACGGUCGCAAGGCUGAAA